AACGCACGAGACCUGCGGACCUGCGGAAGGAUCAUUACCGAGUUAUCAACUCCCAAACCCCUGUGAACAUACCCGAACGUUGCCUCGGCGGGACCGCCCCGGCGCCCCUAGCGGCCCGGAACCAGGCGCCCGCCGGAGGACCCAAACUCUUGCUUUAAACAGUGGCAUACUCUCUGAGUCUCACAAACAAAAAAUAAAUCAAAACUUUCAACAACGGAUCUCUAGAUCGGAAGAGCACAC
rnacentral:misc_RNA from 1 species